CUUAGAAUGUUAAAUAGCAGGCCUAUGGGACUCAUUUCAAGUUGUCUUACGAAAAAAACUUAAGAACAAUGUGUAACUACAGCUACAUUCUUAUUUCUAAGUAACAUAUAAGAACAUACUUGCUCCUCUCCCUUCUUUCCAUAACAAAACUAAAGUAUAGGUGGCUCAGCCUAAGCAUCCAAUUUAUUAGGCUAUUUAAAUGAUAUAUUCACAGUAUACAGAACAGGG
rnacentral:lncRNA from 1 species